AUUGAACGCUGGCGGCAGGCCUAACACAUGCAAGUCGAGCGGAUGAAGGGAGCUUGCUCCUGGAUUCAGCGGCGGACGGGUGAGUAAUGCCUAGGAAUCUGCCUGGUAGUGGGGGAUAACGUCCGGAAACGGGCGCUAAUACCGCAUACGUCCUGAGGGAGAAAGUGGGGGAUCUUCGGACCUCACGCUAUCAGAUGAGCCUAGGUCGGAUUAGCUAGUUGGUGGGGUAAAGGCCUACCAAGGCGACGAUCCGUAACUGGUCUGAGAGGAUGAUCAGUCACACUGGAACUGAGACACGGUCCGGACUCCUACGGGAGGCAGCAGUGGGGAAUUUUGGACAAUGGGCGAAAGCCUGAUCCAGCCAUGCCGGGGGUGUGAAGAAGGUCUUCGGAUUGUAAAGCCCUUUAAGUUGGGAGGAAGGGCAGUAAGUUAAUACCUUGCUUUUUUGACGUUACCAAAAGAAUAAGCCCCGGCUAACUUCGU
rnacentral:rRNA from 1 species